UUGAAUAACUUGGUGUUGAGCUGGCCCUAUUGGGCAUGUGCUCGCAUCAUAUUAUUUAUCUAUCUCUUGUGCACCUUUUGUAGUCUUUGGAGCACUCGCAGUGAAUGCGGUUUUGGGGCUUGGGCUUUGCUGCCCUUUUCCCUGUUUGCUUCAAAGGCUAUGUUUUAUACACACUAUUGAAGUUACAGAAUGUCUCUUAUUGACUUUGAGUCAGUAAAUCUAUA
rnacentral:misc_RNA from 1 species